GGGGAUUUAGCUCAGUGGUAGAGCACUUACCUAGCAAGUAAGUGCAAGGCCUUGGGUUCAGUCCUCG
rnacentral:tRNA from 1 species